GGUUGAUCCUGCCAGUAGUCAUAUGCUUGUCUCAAAGAUUAAGCCAUGCAUGUCUGAGUAUAAACCGUUUUACGGUGAGACUGCGGACGGCUCAUUAAAUCAGUUAUAGUCCGUUUGAUGGUUCCUCGUUUCUCGCCCAUUCGCCUACUUGGAUAACCGUAGUAAUCCUAGAGCUAAUACAUGCGCGAGGUCCCGAUCCUUUGGAGAGGGACGUAUUUAUCAGACCAAGAACCGGCGCGGGGUAUUCCAAACCAGCGUGGCAACACGUUGGGCCCCGGUAUUCCGGCGAGCC
rnacentral:rRNA from 1 species